CCUACGGGCGGCAGCAGUGGGGAAUAUUGGGCAAUGGGCGCAAGCCUGACCCAGCAACGCCGCGUGAAGGAACAAGGCUUUCGGGUUGUAAACUUCUUUUCUCAGGGACGAAGCAAGUGACGGUACCUGAGGAAUAAGCCACGGCUAACUACGUGCCAGCGGCCGCGGUAAUACGUAGGUGGCAAGCGUUAUCCGGAUUUACUGGGCGUAAAGGGCGUGUAGGCGGGAAAGCAAGUCAGAGGUGAAAACCAUGGGCUCAACCUGUGGCCUGCAUUUGAAACGGUUUUUCUUGAGUACUGGAGAGGCAGACGGAAUUCCUAGUGUAGCGGUGAAAUGCGGAGAUAUUAGGAGGAACACCAGUGGCGAAGGCGGUCUGCUGGACAGCAACUGACGCUGAGGCGCGAAAGCGUGGGGAGCAAACAGGAUUAGAUACCCCUGUAGUC
rnacentral:rRNA from 1 species